rnacentral:rRNA from 1 species
GGGGAAUAUUGGACAAUGGGCGCAAGCCUGAUCCAGCCAUGCCGCGGGGGUGAAGAAGGCCUUCGGGUUGUAAAGCCCUUUUGUUGGGAAAGAAAAGCAGCCGGCCAAUACCCGGUUGUUCUGACGGUACCGAAAGAAUAAGCACCGGCUAAGUUCGUGCCAGCAGCCGCGGUAAUACGAAGGGUGCAAGCGUUACUCGGAAUUAUUGGGCGUAAAGAGCUCGUAGGCGGUUAGUCGCGUCUGCUGUGAAAACUCGAGGCUCAACCUCGGGCUUGCAGUGGGUACGGGCUGACUAGAGUGCGGUAGGGGUGACUGGAAUUCCUGGUGUAGCGGUGGAAUGCGCAGAUAUCAGGAGGAACACCGAUGGCGAAGGCAGGUCACUGGGCCGCAACUGACGCUGAGGAGCGAAAGCAUGGGGAGCGAACA